GAGGCCAUACAGCCUACCCACACGGGCAUGUGACUCUCCAAGGUUAGAUAUAUCCGGUAGAAUUGGACUCCGCAUCCUGUGAGAAUCCCGUACUUAAUGUUGGUGAUUUUUUUUGUGUGUGUUUUGGCAAGUAUCUAGGAUACAAAUUCAAUGAUAGUGUCUUUUUUGUUAGUGAGCUUUAGGGUGCUAGUUUUUGUAAAUGUAUACAAUUGUAAAUACCUUGUUGACAUCUUAUGCUAUAUUGAAAGUAAUGUUUGUUUAAA